UAUACAAAAAGGUAUACUAACAAAAUCGGCAAAUACGCAAUUUGUGUGUUCUACAAAUAUAAUUCUGUUUCAGUAAGACCAACAUAAGUCACAAAAAAUAUGCAGUAUUGCACUGUAAUGGGACAGGUAAACGAAUGUUUACCUUUUCAAAGCCUACCAAAAAUAAUAAUAAGUUUUUAAAAUGGUUAUUGGCAUGCGGAGAUGAAAAAUUAUUAAAAAUAGCAGAGAAAAAAAUAGCCAGCAGAAUAAUUUGUGAGAACCAUUUUGAGGAAAGAUAUAAAUUUCCAAAGAAAUUAAGCAAUGAUGCUGUGCCUACUUUAUUAUUACCAAAACCAAUUAAUAUUAUACAACAUGAAAGGAUUGAUGUUACAAAUGCUUCCGAAUUUAUAUCAAAUGGUAAAAGUUAACUUAUUAAUCUGCACACAUAGCACAAAGUCUUCAAGAGAUGUCUAAGGCUGGUAUUCAUAGUCGGAUCUUAUAUUUAAGACCGUCUUAAGUUCAAAUACUGUGUAGCCAAUUAAAUGAUCCAUACAGCA